rnacentral:rRNA from 1 species
UACGUACGAGGCGAGCGUUAUCCGGAAUUACUGGGCGUAAAGCGUGCGCAGGCGGUUUUGCAAGACAGAGGUGAAAGCCCCGGGCUUAACCUGGGAAUGGCCUUUGUGACUGCACGGCUAGAGUGUGUCAGAGGGGGGUAGAAUUCCACGUGUAGCAGUGAAAUGCGUAGAGAUGUGGAGGAAUACCGAUGGCGAAGGCAGCCCCCUGGGAUAACACUGACGCUCAUGCACGAAAGCGUGGGGAGCAAACAGG